AACGAACGCUGGCGGCAUGCCUAACACAUGCCAGUCGAACGAGACCUUCGGGUCUAGUGGCGCACGGGUGCGUAACGCGUGGGAACCUGCCCUUAGGUUCGGAAUAACUCCCCGAAAGGGGUGCUAAUACCGGAUAAUGUCUUCGGACCAAAGAUUUAUCGCCUUUGGAUGGGCCCGCGUUGGAUUAGCUAGUUGGUAGGGUAAAAGCCUACCAAGGCGACGAUCCAUAGCUGGUCUGAGAGGAUGAUCAGCCACACUGGGACUGAGACACGGCCCAGACUCCUACGGGAGGCAGCAGUGGGGAAUAUUGGACAAUGGGCGAAAGCCUGAUCCAGCAAUGCCGCGUAAGUGAUGAAGGCCUUAGGGUUGUAAAGCUCUUUUACCCGGGAUGAUAAUGACAGUACCGGGAGAAUAAGCUCCGGCUAACUCCGUG
rnacentral:rRNA from 1 species